GUUUCUGUAGUUGAAAAACAACGGUAGUUUUUCAGAUUACAGGUUUAGGUUAGAAUCCUAACAGAAAUA
rnacentral:tRNA from 1 species